rnacentral:rRNA from 1 species
GGCAGGCCUAACACAUGCAAGUCGAGGGGUAACAGGGAGCUUGCUCCGCUGACGACCGGCGCACGGGUGCGCACCGCGUAUGGAACCUACCUUCUACAGGGGAAUAGCCCAUGGAAACGUGGAUUAAUGCCCCGUGGCACUAUUUUGUGGCAUCACAUUAUAGUUAAAGCCUUCGGGCGGUAGAAGAUGGCCAUGCGUCCCAUUAGCUUGUUGGUAAGGUAACGGCUUACCAAGGCUACGAUGGGUAGGGGCCCUGAGAGGGGGAUCCCCCACACUGGUACUGAGACACGGACCAGACUCCUACGGGAGGCAGCAGUGAGGAAUAUUGGACAAUGGAGGGGACUCUGAUCCAGCCAUGCCGCGUGCAGGAAGAAUGCCCUAUGGGUAGUAAACUGCUUUUAUACGGAAGAAAAAGGGGCACGUGUGCCCUACUGACGGUACCGUAAGAAUAAGGACCGGCUAACUCCGUGCCAGCAGCCGCGGUAAUACGGAGGGUCCGAGCGUUAUCCGGAAUUAUUGGGUUUAAAGGGUCCGUAGGCGGGCCGAUAAGUCAGGGGUGAAAGUUUGCAGCUCAACUGUAAAAUUGCCUUUGAUACUGUUCGUCUUGAGUUAUAGUGAAGUUGCCGGAAUAUGUAGUGUAGCGGUGAAAUGCAUAGAUAUUACAUAGAACACCGAUUGCGAAGGCAGGUGACUAACUAUAUACUGACGCUGAUGGACGAAAGCGUGGGGAGCGAACAGGAUUAGAUACCCUGGUAGUCCACGCCGUAAACGAUGGAUACUAGCUGUCCGGGACCUUGAGUUCUGGGCGGCCAAGCGAAAGUGAUAAGUAUCCCACCUGGGGAGUACGUUCGCAAGAAUGAAACUCAAAGGAAUUGACGGGGGCCCGCACAAGCGGUGGAGCAUGUGGUUUAAUUCGAUGAUACGCGAGGAACCUUACCAGGGCUUAAAUGCAUUUUGAC